rnacentral:tRNA from 1 species
GCCUGCAUAGCUCAGAGGCAGAGCAUUCUCUUGGUAAGGGAAAGGAAGCAGUUCGAUUCUGCUUGUAGGCA